rnacentral:rRNA from 1 species
AACAGGAAGCAGCUUGCUGCUUUGCUGACGAGUGGCGGACGGGUGAGUAAUGUCUGGGAAACUGCCUGAUGGAGGGGGAUAACUACUGGAAACGGUGGCUAAUACCGCAUAACGUCGCAAGACCAAAGAGGGGGACCUUCGGGCCUCUUGCCAUCAGAUGUGCCCAGAUGGGAUUAGCUAGUUGGUGAGGUAACGGCUCACCAAGGCGACGAUCCCUAGCUGGUCUGAGAGGAUGACCAGCCACACUGGAACUGAGACACGGUCCAGACUCCUACGGGAGGCAGCAGUGGGGAAUAUUGCACAAUGGGCGCAAGCCUGAUGCAGCCAUGCCGCGUGUAUGAAGAAGGCCUUCGGGUUGUAAAGUACUUUCAGCGGGGAGGAAGGUGUUGUGGUUAAUAACCGCAGCAAUUGACGUUACCCGCAGAAGAAGCACCGGCUAACUCCGUGCCAGCAGCCGCGGUAAUACGGAGGGUGCAAGCGUUAAUCGGAAUUACUGGGCGUAAAGCGCACGCAGGCGGUCUGUCAAGUCGGAUGUGAAAUCCCCGGGCUCAACCUGGGAACUGCAUUCGAAACUGGCAGGCUUGAGUCUUGUAGAGGGGGGUAGAAUUCCAGGUGUAGCGGUGAAAUGCGUAGAGAUCUGGAGGAAUACCGGUGGCGAAGGCGGCCCCCUGGACAAAGACUGACGCUCAGGUGCGAAAGCGUGGGGAGCAAACAGGAUUAGAUACCCUGGUAGUCCACGCCGUAAACGAUGUCUACUUGGAGGUUGUGCCCUUGAGGCGUGGCUUCCGGAGCUAACGCGUUAAGUAGACCGCCUGGGGAGUACGGCCGCAAGGUUAAAACUCAAAUGAAUUGACGGGGGCCCGCACAAGCGGUGGAGCAUGUGGUUUAAUUCGAUGCAACGCGAAGAACCUUACCUGGUCUUGACAUCCACAGAACUUUCCAGAGAUGGAUUGGUGCCUUCGGGAACUGUGAGACAGGUGCUGCAUGGCUGUCGUCAGCUCGUGUUGUGAAAUGUUGGGUUAAGUCCCGCAACGAGCGCAACCCUUAUCCUUUGUUGCCAGCGGUUAGGCCGGGAACUCAAAGGAGACUGCCAGUGAUAAACUGGAGGAAGGUGGGGAUGACGUCAAGUCAUCAUGGCCCUUACGACCAGGGCUACACACGUGCUACAAUGGCGCAUACAAAGAGAAGCGACCUCGCGAGAGCAAGCGGACCUCAUAAAGUGCGUCGUAGUCCGGAUUGGAGUCUGCAACUCGACUCCAUGAAGUCGGAAUCGCUAGUAAUCGUGGAUCAGAAUGCCACGGUGAAUACGUUCCCGGGCCUUGUACACACCGCCCGUCACACCAUGGGAGUGGGUUGCAAAAGAAGUAGGUAGCUUAACCUUCGGGAGGGCGCUUACCACUUUGUGAUUCAUGACUGGGGUGAAGUCGUAACAAGGUAACCGUAGGGGAACCUGCGGUUGGA